rnacentral:rRNA from 1 species
AUGCACGCUGGCGGCGUGCCUAAUACCUGCAAGUCGAGCGAACAGAUGAGGAGCUUGCUCCGCUGACGUUAGCGGCGGACGGGUGAGUAACACGUGGAUAACCUACCUAUAAGACUGGGAUAACUUCGGGAAACCGGAGCUAAUACCGGAUAAUAUAUUGAACCGCAUGGUUCAAUAGUGAAAGACGGUUUUGCUGUCACUUAUAGAUGGAUCCGCGCCGCAUUAGCUAGUUGGUAAGGUAACGGCUUACCAAGGCAACGAUGCGUAGCCGACCUGAGAGGGUGAUCGGCCACACUGGAACUGAGACACGGUCCAGACUCCUACGGGAGGCAGCAGUAGGGAAUCUUCCGCAAUGGGCGAAAGCCUGACGGAGCAACGCCGCGUGAGUGAUGAAGGUCUUCGGAUCGUAAAACUCUGUUAUUAGGGAAGAACAAAUGUGUAAGUAACUAUGCACGUCUUGACGGUACCUAAUCAGAAAGCCACGGCUAACUACGUG